UCUCCGUAGGUGAACCUGCGGAGGGAUCAUUACAGAGUUCAUGCCCUAACGGGUAGAUCUCCCACCCUAUGUUAUCAUCACUUUGUUGCCUUGGCGGGCCGUCAGGCCUCGGCUUGGCUACCGGCUCUCGCUGGUAAGCGCCCGCCAGAGAACCCCAAACCCUGAAUAUCAGUGUCGUCUGAGUACUAUAUAAUAGUUAAAACUUUCAACAACGGAUCUCUUGGUUCUG
rnacentral:misc_RNA from 1 species